rnacentral:rRNA from 1 species
AGAACGCACAGGAUGCACCGUAGUUUACUACACCGUAUUCUGUGAGUUGCGAACGGGUGAGUAACGCGUAGGUAACCUGCCUGGUAGCGGGGGAUAACUAUUGGAAACGAUAGCUAAUACCGCAUAAGAACAUUUACUGCAUGGUAGAUGUUUAAAAGGUGCAAAUGCAUCACUACCAGAUGGACCUGCGUUGUAUUAGCUAGUAGGUGAGGUAACGGCUCACCUAGGCGAUGAUACAUAGCCGACCUGAGAGGGUGAUCGGCCACACUGGGACUGAGACACGGCCCAGACUCCUACGGGAGGCAGCAGUAGGGAAUCUUCGGCAAUGGGGGGAACCCUGACCGAGCAACGCCGCGUGAGUGAAGAAGGUUUUCGGAUCGUAAAGCUCUGUUGUUAAGGAAGAACGAGUGUGAGAAUGGAAAGUUCAUAC